GGACACACCACAUGCACACAUCUAAGCAUGAGUUAUCGCCAGAGAAAGAGAGCGCUGACGCACUAGUGUGUGCGAGACACCGUCAUGACGACGAAGAAACACACGGUGGGCGCUCUCCUAUCAGCCUAUCUCUCCUGUGACCCUGGCAGCAUGUGUGGGUGCGAACGAGAGCGAGAGGGCUCAAUUUUUUCGAACAUCCCCACUGUGUAUCGAACUUCGCCAUCGCAAAAGGCCACCAGAAGUAGUGUUUCAGCGAGCGACUUGACGACGAGGAAAAUUCGACGAGAUUGGCGCGGUUGGUGUCUUUUUAUUGGAUGUUGGUCUCACCUUUAUCUGAAAUUUUAUGUAUGUGUGUGUGUAAGACUGUGAGAGUUUGCUGUAAUCAACGCCCUUUUUCAGGUACUGCUGAAAUAAGAAGCAGUUGUGUGUAGUGUGUGGAAAAGCAGUUUUUUUUACUCUCGACCUAGCUCUUAAUUGUGGGGGCAUUAGGAAACUUGCCUGAAGGAGUGAUUUGCUACGGCAGUAAUUUACCCAAAGAACUCAUCGCCAUCGGAUCAUCGAUCGACCCGUCCGUUCAGCGCCUCCGUCGAUGUGCACCAACAACAGCUAGUGAUAUUUCCGGAGACCACUUUCUCCGCGUUUCGGGCCCGCAGGAAAAUUCGAUUUUCCAAUAAUUUGACAGCGGAACGACGAAGAAAGAAAAAGUUUUCUCAUCGAUAUAUUCUCUUAUUUCUCCUUCAAUUUCAUAUCGCUGUUCAUGCAUACAUGCGCGCGUUUGUGUAUGUGUAUCCACUGGUAGAAAUCGCAGCUAGAAGCGUGAAAAGGUGUGCGUGUGUUUUUCCAUACACUCUUCCAAACGUUUGUGAUGCUCCGCUCUCUCGCAGUUUGCUCUCAUGAGAAUUACCAUGCGAAGACGAUGAUGGUGUGCAUCAAUCAAUGUGAGCUGUGAAUGAAAAUCUGAGGCCAAAAUAGUAAAGUGAUCCUUUUAAAGAGCUGCGCGGGGAUUAAGUGAAACGGAAGUCUUUCGGGAAGAAUAAGGAAGAACGAAAGAAAAAAAAGCUCGGAAGUGUCAGCAAGAAAGGGUCUUUAGCGCCCGGCUCUCCUGAAGGUCGUGAUUGUAUGAAGUGCAUGUGGUGAUCCCCACCCCGUGUGUGAACCAUUCCCCACAAAACCGAUCCUUGACGUAAGAGGAAGAAUUAGGAGAAAAUAAAUUCAAGAAAAAAAAAUACACAGGAUAUAUCAGCAAAAUUGUGCGGAAAUCAGCUUGUUUUUUCUUCCUGGAAAAUUCUGUGUGUGCAUAGGGCAGCAAAUCCUUUCGGUGGAACAACACGGAAUCAGGAGCACAGAAAUUCCACCACUACGACGGA